UACGUAGGGUGCAAGCGUUAAUCGGAAUUACUGGGCGUAAAGCGUGCGCAGGCGGUUUUGUAAGUCUGUCGUGAAAUCCCCGGGCUCAACCCGGGAACUGCGUCCGAUACUGGAAGGCUUGAAUCCGGGAGAGGGAUGCGGAAUUCCAGGUGUAGCGGUGAAAUGCGUAGAUACCAGGAGGAACACCGGUGGCGAAAGCGGUUUCCUGGCCGAAUACUGACGCUGAGGCACGAAAGCGUGGGGAGCAAACGGG
rnacentral:rRNA from 1 species